rnacentral:sRNA from 1 species
UAGUAGAUGCACCCUGAUUAAAUUAUUGACCCCAGUUACUUGUCGCUGGGGUCUUUUAUU